rnacentral:rRNA from 1 species
AUAGCCUCUGGCUAUAGGAAAUUGUUAGUGGCAGACGGGUGAGUAAUGCGUAGGAAUCUACCUAGUAGUACGGAAUAGCCAUUAGAAAUGGUGGGUAAUACUGUAUAAUCCCCGAGGGGGAAAGAUUUAUCGCUAUUAGAUGAGCCUACGUUAGAUUAGCUAGUUGGUGAGGUAAUGGCUUACCAAGGCUAUGAUCUAUAGCUGGUCUGAGAGGACGAUCAGCCACACUGGAACUGAGAUACGGUCCAGACUCCUACGGGAGGCAGCAGUGGGGAAUAUUGGACAAUGAGCGAAAGCCUGAUCCAGCUAUGCCGCGUGAGUGAAGAAGGCCUUCGGGUUGUAAAACUCUUUCAAUAGGGAAGAUAAUGACGG